GCUACAUGGGAAACGCACAGGAGCAUCAGCUCUCACAUUCAGCAGGUGUGAGUACUGAGGCCUCGCCUCUCCUGAGAAGCCUGCCCUGAUGACUCCAACUGGAGGAAGAACGGGAUGGCUUGGUGUUUUGUCACAGUAAAACCAGCAUGUGACGUCUAAGGAAGAAUCACGGAGUCUGACCUCCAGAACUGCCUUUGGACUGCACUGCUCUUCCAGGUCAGCAGAGAAGCCCGAUGUCCCCAUCUCUCUAAAACCCACAGGCACUUCCACAGAAACCAUGGGAUGCAUGCAGGACUCCGAAUGCCAUCUCUCCUUCACCCCAAAUCCUACAGCUCUGUGGGCUACCAGGGUCUAAUGGAAACCACACAGAGCACAGCCUCCACUAAGUGCUGGGUGGUAAGAGUGUACUGCUCUUCUUCUGCAAGCCUCAGUUUCCUCGUCUGAGCCCUCUUCCAGCUCCCAUGCUGCAGUCCCAUGAGUAAGGGUGUGCUCCCUUCCCCACUACCAGGUGAACAGGUCAAGGUGGCCUGUGACACCCCACACCCAGCAGCUUCUGGGAGGUGCUGGCUGCUCCCAGGAGCCCUGCUUUGGGAGGCCACACUUAAUACUCCUGAGUGGCGAGGCCCCAGCUCUACACAGAGGCCUCAUGUGACUGCCCAAGCCCUUCUCCUUUCUGGUCACCACUGUUCCCAAGGUAGAAAGAACCCCAGGCCACCUCAGUAGGGACACAGUGAUCAGACUCCUCAGACGGGACUGCCAGGUGUACAGAGGACUCAUUUUUAUUACUUGGCCAUGGGGAAGAACAAAACUGCUUCAUGGCAACACCAUUUUGCAGAGGAAAGAAAAAGAGGACUGCUUCCCCUAGAGCAGAGCAACGACAGCUCCCGUUCUUGUGUUAAUCAUCUGUCCCUGCACAGGGUGGGAAGGGCAGGAAAACAUCUGGAUAAGGCCAGACCAGUGGUUUAAACAAGAACGUCACAGCACUGAGGUGGUAGCAGUAACAAGUGGGACAGGCAGCUCCCAGCACAGGAGAAGGUCAGCCCUCAAGGUCGCCAGGAUGUAGCUCUGCUGAGCUAUGCCUUGCAGCCAGCUGCCUAAAAGGAGGGGCAGGCAGGGCAGAGAUGGGGCUGACCACAGGUCCCUUGAAACUCCCUGGUCCCAGCCAGGGCUCAGGGCCAGGGGCAGUUGGGGAGGGCAGGGGAAGCUGCUGGGCUAGAGAGGAGAAGCUGAUCAGCCUGACAGAGGAGUCACACUUCCUACCCCACCCCACACCCCCAGACGCUGCUGCUCACACAACCCCAAAUAAAAACUACCCCAUA